rnacentral:rRNA from 1 species
CCUACGGGAGGCAGCAGUGAGGAAUAUUGGUCAAUGGACGGAAGUCUGAACCAGCCAAGCAGCGUGCAGGAUGACGGCCCUAUGAGUUGUAAACUGCUUUUGUACGAGAAUAAUAGGUCUUACGUGUACGUUUUUGUAUGUAUCUUAUGAAUAAGGAUCGGCUAACUCCGUGCCAGCAGCCGCGGUAAUACGGAGGAUUCGAGCGUUAUCCGGAUUUAUUGGGUUUAAAGGGUGCGUAGGCUGUCGGUUAAGUUAGGUGUUAAAGUUUGGGGCUUAACCCCAAAACUGCAUUUGAUACUGGUCGACUAGAGGACAGUUGAGGCAGGCGGAAUUAGUGGUGUAGCGGUGAAAUGCUUAGAUAUUACGCAGAACUCCGAUUGCGAAGGCAGCUUGCUAAUCCGCAUCUGACACUGAUGCACGAAAGCGUGGGUAGCGAACAGGAUUAGAUACCCGAGUAGUC